rnacentral:rRNA from 1 species
UACAGAGACUGCGAGCGUUAUUCGGAUUCACUGGGCGUAAAGGGUGCGCAGGUGGCCAGGUGUGUGAGGCGUGAAAGCCCGGGGCUUAACCCCGGAAUUGCACCUCAAACUACUUGGCUAGAGCAUUGGAGAGGGGAGCAGAAUUCAUGGUGUAGCAGUGAAAUGCGUAGAUAUCAUGAGGAAUACCAGAGGCGAAGGCGGCUCCCUGGACAAUUGCUGACACUCAGGCACGAAAGCGUGGGGAGCAAAAGGG